rnacentral:rRNA from 1 species
AGAGUUUGAUCAUGGCUCAGAUUGAACGCUGGCGGCAGGCCUAACACAUGCAAGUCGAGCGGCAGCACAGGGGAACUUGUUCCCUGGGUGGCGAGCGGCGGACGGGUGAGUAAUGGCUGGGAACCUGUCCUGAUGUGGGGGAUAACAGUUGGAAACGACUGCUAAUACCGCAUGAUGUCUACGGACCAAAGAGGAGGACCUUCGGGCUUCUCGCGUCAGGAUGGGCCCAGUUGGGAUUAGCUAGUUGGUAGGGUAAUGGCCUACCAAGGCGACGAUCCCUAGCUGGUUUGAGAGGAUGAUCAGCCACACUGGAACUGAGACACGGUCCAGACUCCUACGGGAGGCAGCAGUGGGGAAUAUUGCACAAUGGGCGCAAGCCUGAUGCAGCCAUGCCGCGUGUGUGAAGAAGGCCUUCGGGUUGUAAAGCACUUUCAGCAGUGAGGAAGGUGGUGUAGUUAAUACCUGCAUCAUUUGACGUUAGCUGCAGAAGAAGCACCGGCUAACUCCGUGCCAGCAGCCGCGGUAAUACGGAGGGUGCGAGCGUUAAUCGGAAUUACUGGGCGUAAAGCGCAUGCAGGCGGUCUGUUAAGCAAGAUGUGAAAGCCCCGGGCUUAACCUGGGAACCGCAUUUUGAACUGGCAGGCUAGAGUCUUGUA